CCUACGGGUGGCAGCAGUGGGGAAUAUUGCACAAUGGGGGAAACCCUGAUGCAGCGACGCCGCGUGAGGGAAGAAGUAAUUCGUUACGUAAAGCUCUAUCAGCAGGGAAGAAACACUGACCUUACGGUCAGCAGACGGUACCUGAGUAAGAAGCCCCGGCUAACUACGUGCCAGCAGCCGCGGUAAUACGGAGGGGGCAAGCGUUAUCCGGGUUUACUGGGUGUAAAGGGAGCGUAGCCGUGGCGCCAAGCCUGGAUGGAACUGCCGCAGAUUAACGGCGGAACUGCUUUGGAAACCGGCGAACUAGAGUGCGGGAGGGGUAAGCGGAAUUCGUAGUGUAGCGGUGAAAUGCGUCGAUAUUAGGAGGAACACCGGUGGCGAAGGCGGUUUACUGGACCGUAACUGACGUUGAGGCUCGAAAGCGUGGGGAGCAAACAGGAUUAGAUACCCCGGUAGUC
rnacentral:rRNA from 1 species